ensembl:lncRNA
UUUUAAGUGAAUCAAAAAACAUACCGCAGGACUAUAAUUGUUUGAUUCCUGAAUAAAUGGUUUUUAUGAGGCGAUUAUUUUUAGAGAAUCAAAAACACACAGCAUGACCAUUAUUUUCUGAUUCUUGAAUCAGUCAUUAUUGAGAGACGGAUCUAUUUAGUGAUUCAGAAAAUACAGCAUGACCAUUAUUGUCAGGUUUCUGAAAGUUUCACUCUUCUGAGUUGGUUAUUUUUAGUCAAUCUAAUAACAUACAGCCUGAUCAUCAUUGUUCAAUUUGUGAAUUGAAGUGAAUCAAAACCGUCAUACAGUACAAUCAGUGUCUGAUUCCUGAGAAUGAAAAUGAGUCAGUAACAAGACCUAUGUGAACUUGAGUAGAACGUAUUUAUUCAUAUUUAAUCAAUUGGCUCAGAAGCAAAGUUAGUUCUGAAAAAACAGGCAUCACAUGUUUGCAGAUGCUGCUUGGUUUGAUAUUUUGUAUAAUGAUAUUCAGACAUCAUUUGCAGUUUAGUUUGAGGGACAUUUAGUGAAAAUGACAUUAAAUUUAAGUAGUUAUUUUUCUUUUCUUUUUUUGUGUUUUAUAUUAUUCCUUUCAUUUCAUGGUGUUUCCUAAAAGCACCAUCAGUAUAAAUAUUUGUGCAGGGAAAUGCAGUUAUGUAAAAAGGAAGUGCUGUGUAAAAUAAAUGAGCUGUGGUGAUUGUCUGUGGCAGUAUGGCUGUGCUCUCUUCUGUAUCUUAGGCGACUUAAGUACGGGGAACAUACAGGAUCUUCCUGGUGUGGUUCUGAUGUCAAUGGAACAUCCCAGAGCCCCAUGGUGCCCGGUCCCUGGUCCAUGUGGAAUACAGCCGCUCCUGCAAAACAUCUCUCAUAAUCAAAACACAGAGCUUUUCUAAGAAGUGUUGGCAGCAGAGCGGUUAUAGAGAGCAUGAGGGUUAGUGAGAGAAACAAAUGUGGAUGAUCGAGUGUGUGUGAGGAGAGACAAUGUGCAUGCGGAUGGCAUUCAUGGGUUUGAGUACACGUGUUUAAGUGUGUGAGAAAGAGGUUUUAUUUACAUACAACCAGGCCAUUCCAUGUAGAUUUUUUUUUCUUUUUUUUUUUCAUUUGAAAAGAUUGGGAGAAAUUUAGUAUUACUGUACAUCACUUGCUCACCAAUGAAUCUUCUGCAGUGAAUGGGUGCCAUUAGAAUGAGAGUCCAAACAGCUGAAAAAGUAAAAGUAAAAAAGUAAUCCACACCACUCCAGUCCAUCAGUUAACAUCUUGAAGUGAUAAAGUGAAAAGCUGCAAGCAAAAAAUAAAUCCAUCAUCAAGGAAUUUUAUCUUUAAAUCAUUGCUUAUGGGAAAAAAUCCAGUCCAUAAUCCAUAAUAAUGCUUCCUCCAAUGAAAUGUCCAUUCCCUGUUGUCCUCUCACAUCAUAUUCACUGAUGUAUUUGUUUAGAACAGUUUCAGACUGUUUUUGCUUGUAAAUGGUACUUGAUCUGCAUAUUUCUCUCCUGAUUCAGACAAGACAACUUUCUCACUGGAUAAAACAAAAUUAUGUAUAGCAAUGGGUUGAAGUUAAAAAUGUCUUAAUGAUAAAUUUGUUUAUUACAAACAAAAACUGGCAAUUUUUUGUGGCCUUCAGACAGGCAGUCAGUAAGAGAAGAAGCACAGAGAAAAAAAGGUGACAGUGAUCAGAGAGGUUUCUCUGGUUGGGCUUUGCCCUUAUCACAGGCGCUCUGACGUCCCCUCUGUACCUCCAUUGGAAUUGCUAAAUCUGACCUUCAACAAGACAUUUAAAAAUGACCCCAGAUUGGUUUUCUCUCCCGAUGUUGUUCCAGAGGCCUCUUUCUCUAUGUAGACAAUGAACCGGUCACUAUAACUCCUGGAUUAAACUACAGUUGUGCUGUGAAUGAAGAUAAAUGUGAAACAGUGCCUUUAAAAUACUGUGUAUUUCUACAGCUUCUAGUGACAAGAUGCUUUAUUACCAUCCAAUCUGACCCCAUCCUAAGGCAGUCUGCCCUGGACAUGAAGAACAUGUUUAUUUAAUAAAAAAUAGAAGCUUUCCCCCGCUGAAUCGAAUAUGUUGCAGCAAGAACAGUAGAAAGAAUGCUGAACAUCGGGUGAACAUGAUGAAUACGUAAUGUUUGUGGAUCUACAGAUCUGUAUUUAUCUCUGUCAACCAGACAUAAACGUCAAAUCCUUAUUGAAAUACAAUGCAAGGUUGUAAAUAAAACCUGAAAGCAAAAUAUGCAUUUUAACCCAGUCCACUUAAUUCAUUGCUAUAUUCAUGCGGUUUUUAAGCAUUCUCUGUAAUUGACUAUUUUUGACCUUAUUCAGUUUAUGUUGCAACAUUUGUGUUUACCAUCAUACAAAAAACUGCAUAACAAUAUUAAAUAAAAUAAAAUAAAAAAAAUAGUUUAGUUUAUUUACUAUUCCCUACUUUAUUUAUUUAUGUAAUACAAAAAAAAAAAAAUAGCAUUUAGAAAUUAGUGCCAAAAAUAAAUAUAUAUAUAUAUAUAUAUAUAUAUAAAUAUAUAUAUAUAUAUAUAUAUAUAUAUAUAUAUAUAUAUAUAUAUAUAUAUAUAUAUAUAUAUAUAUAUAUAUAUAUAUAUAUAUAUAUAUAUAUGUGUGUGUGUGUGUAUAUUAUUAUUAUUAUUAUUAUUAUUAUUAUUAUUAUUACAUUUAAAAAAGUUUUACUUUAAAAUAAAAAUACUCAGAAGAAUGCAAAACAAUAUUCAAAUACCAAUAAAAAAAACUAUUAAAAUAAAAAUGCAAUUUAGGUGGU